rnacentral:rRNA from 2 species
AUGGCAUAACGAGGGUUUAACUGUCUCCCUCCCCCAGUCAAUGAAAUUGAUCUGCCCGUGCAGAAGCGGACAUAAACACAUAAGACGAGAAGACCCUAUGGAGCUUUAGACAAAAGAUCAAACAUGUAAAGAAACCAAACCAACCAAAAGGAACACAAAGGCCACAAAACCCAACGUAAAAUGAUCAAAAUGUCUUCGGUUGGGGCGACCAUGGGGGAAAGAAAAGCCCCCACGAGGAACUAAGGGCAAUCCAUUAAGCCAAGAGAUACACCUCUAAGCAACAGAAAAUCUGACCAAAAAUGACCCAGGACACUAAUCCUGAUCAACGAACCAAGUUACCCUAGGGAUAACAGCGCAAUCCUUUCCCAGAG